GAUGAACGCUGGCGGCGUGCUUAACACAUGCAAGUCGAACGGAAAGGCUCCUGCUUGCAGGGGUACUCGAGUGGCGAACGGGUGAGUAACACGUGGGUGAUCUGCCCUGCACUUCGGGAUAAGCUUGGGAAACUGGGUCUAAUACCGGAUAGGACCGCAUUUUGGAUGGUGUGGUGGAAAGUUUUUUCGGUGUGGGAUGAGCUCGCGGCCUAUCCGCUUGUUGGUGGGGUAAUGGCCUACCAAGGCGUCGCCGGGUAGCCGGCCUGAGAGGGUGGACGGCCACAUUGGGACUGAGAUACGGCCCAGACUCCUACGGGAGGCAGCAGUGGGGAAUAUUGCACAAUGGGCGCAAGCCUGAUGCAGCGACGCCGCGUGGGGGAUGACGGCCUUCGGGUUGUAAACUCCUUUCGCUAGGGACGAAGAGUAAUUGACGGUACCUGGAGAAGAAGCACCGGCUAACUACGUG
rnacentral:rRNA from 1 species